CGCAGCAGGUGCCCGCUCCUGAGGAGUGCAGUGGUCGUUUACUACAGAUACACGUGGUAGUUCGGCUGCUUAAUGAGUUUCAUGUGUGGUUGUUACAAGUGGAAAAUUCCCAAAACCAACCGGAGACACGUCAAACAAUUGGACGCAACUUCAGUUAAAAGAGUCAAAACGCGACAAAUGAUUGUAGCCAAACUCGUUGUUGGAUGUUAGCAUGCCGCCGCGACGCUAUCAGCAGCGAUGGACAGUACUGGAAUAGCAAAACAAAACACUCACAAUUAAUGGACCAUCAACAUGCAACUGAAGACACACGGAGUCAAAAGGGUCGUGGAAACUUUGGCCCAGACACUGGUUUAAGCAGUACAGGGGACUUCACAAAAAGGAAAAGACAUUCAUCACCAUCGGGCCUCCAACAAACCAGGGUGACAGAGCGAGGAAGCCAGUUUGGCUGAGGAAGGAGACGAUCAGACUGCACAACAGCUCAAAGCACCUUAUUUGAACUUGAGUAUACUUUUAUGUUUCAUGCGCAUGUAUAACUGUGUGUUCAUCUGGACAUUUAGUUGUAGGAGUGUAACCAUCAAUUCGAAUGACACAAAUCUCCCAUAGCCUUGCAUAACAAGUUUGGCUCAUUUUUUAAAUUCAUUUCAUUUAUCAAAUGUAGAGUUUGAGCUAUCGUACUUCAAAACAAGUAUUAUUACCGUAUUAGUUUUAAAACUAUCUACUACCUUUUUCAAAUCCAGGGCUCCAAUAGCUGCUAAUAACUUACUGUAGACUCUCUUGAGGAGUUUUCCAUCUUAAGACACUGAACCUUUUUUACCCAAAUCCAAUCACUUUUGUGAAUUGUGCAGUUAAUGCAACAUGGACCAAUUGAUUAUUUUUAUUUUAUUUUUUCCCCAAGAAAUCUGAUCCCAUUAACCUGAUUUGUUUUGGGGGAUAUGAAUGUGCCCAACAUUGAGCUGUAUGAGUCAAAUUUCCCUUCCCAAAAUAUGAUGUCGAGGCAAAUGUUUAAAAACUGGAACAAUGGAUUUUUUAUUUUUUUUAAGUUUUUCCAGGCCUCUGGUAAUUAUUUUUACUCUCUGUUUUUCCACUUAUCUUCACAAAGAACUUUAGUGCUCUGCAUGACCCGGGUUAUCACUUGGAUCUUGUGAUGCCUUGAGUUUUGUCUCUGCCGAGUGAUAGGAAAUCAUAGAGGCAUUUAUGAAACCCCACACGCUGCAGACGUCUAAUGAACACCACCGCAUCCAACAUGGCUUCCCAAGACAGAGGCCCUGUUCAUACUGUACUUUGUAUCAAUGUGUAUCUGGGGUGAGAAGAUGACAAGUGGAAAGCUCAAGUACAGGUAUGACUGAGGUAUGUCUGAGGCCGACGACAGUUUUCAUUAUGCGUUUAAUAUGUAAAUAAUUGGUUUUUUUCUGCCCAGCUUAACUCUUUCUUCCUUUGCUUUGUUUUGAAUGUUUUGAUGUCUAUGAUUUAACUUCUUCUUGAUUCAACCAUAUGCUCAGAUUUCCACCCUCUUCUAUCUGCUUCCAUUCACACCUACUGUGUGCUCAUGGUUUGCAUGUUGUGCUUCACAGCAACCGCUCAACAACACAUCGCUCAACAGUUGUCAGCUCAUGGCCAUGUAUCGAAGUUGUAGUUGUAUUUACAUGCAAGGUUUACACAUUGGACAUUUAUGAAAAUGAACAAAGUAUUUGCGGAAAAAGCUACUAAGGCAUAAAUAAGCUUUGAAAGACAUAAAGGGAGAAUGCUGUUUGAAAAUUUAAGAAAAAUACUGUACACAACAGGAUGUGGGCAAAGAUGAUGUGACACAUUACAGCAUAUAUACAGGGAGUGUAAAAAAAAAAAGUGCAGCCAGCCAUCCACACCACCACAGCCAUAGGUCAUACAUAUGUACGAAAGUUAUUAGGCAUGUAGGCAUGUGUGUAGAUACCUGUUUGCCUCCCAGAUAUAUAUUCUUUUGAUUUGCUGCCCUAGAGCAUGUCAGCUCACAUUUUCCCAUCCCUGGCUUCCCCUCUCGCUUGCCUUGCCUGAGUCUGCUCAACAAUAAUUCCUCCAACACUCAUUUAUUAUGGCAUACAGAGCAAAUCCGAAGCAAAGAUUUCUCUGUCGGAACAGGCAAAUUUUUAUCUGUUUGUUCUUACUCUUCGGCACUUGAUUUUGCCGAAGUCCUUGUACCUGACGGGGCGUGUACAUGCUAAACUGUCGAUGCUGGAUCAACAUUUAGUGGUAAAGCUUAUGCUAGAAAAACAAAUAUUCAUCGUAUGCAGUUUAUCCUUUUCCCCCAAUUGUCUCUUUGCUUUUGCUUGGGCAAAUGAACAACCAAAAAUCAAAUCUUAACUCUUCUAAUCUAUUCUCCUCUAAUAUAGUUAAUCUGCUCCGUGUAGGGUUUCUGUCCAUUUGAUGUAUUUUGUUAUGAGGUGAUGCACUUUUGCUUGUAACUGUACAUGCAUUGAGUUCAGGAGUGUUUGGGACUUGACUGUGUGCCAGUCUUGAAAAGGAAACAGAUAGCGCUCUUGUGAACACGGAUGAUGCACAAAGACUGAGCUGGCCGUUCACAUAUAAAAUAAGACAGCUACUUGGAGAACGGCUGAGAGAAUUACAUAUAGAGGAACUUACACUGUAACUGCUGAUGUUGUCUUUUGUCGUACUUAAGACGCAUGUUUUGUGAAAGAGGGCCGUGUGUUGUUAACACAUUUGGGAUGACGAAUUCAUUAAAGAAUAUUGUUUCAAACGUGUGUGUUAUAUUUAAAUCCUAUUAUUAUUUUGUUACUAAAGCAGGUACUUGUAAGACCACUGACGUCAGAUGAAGCUGCUGAGUGUUGCUCCUCUGAAACACCUUGCUUUCCUUCCAAUAUUAGAGGGCACAACUAAGGACAAAUCAUUGUCUCACUGGAUUUAGCCGCCUUAUUGUUCUCUCCCCCCUCACAAUCUCCUCCCAACAUAUUUCAGGACAAAACUGGUAACUUCCACAGUAUUCAACAAAUCAUGGCAAUGCAUUUGUUUUUGUUGCUCUGUACUGCAUCACUGUACGCAAUGAGGAGUCUGCAGUAUAUUUGUUUGUUGAUUGUGAUCAACAUUUCAGUUAUAUCAUUGAGAUAUUGUGUCCCCAUAAAUAACUAAAAGGAAACCAGUAUCAAUACACAAGCUUGUGCUGUAAUGAACACAGUGCAAUCUGUUUGGAUGUCCUUAUUGUCUGUAUUGCAAAGACAAGUCCUACACACUAUCAUAAUUGUGCUAUUGAUUAUACAUAACUCACUUUGUCUGAUUAUGAUUGCAAUUUAAUACUGACUUCCCGUGUGCGAUGAAUUCACUCUCCCGUUGUCAGUCUUGUUGACUUGUAUGAUCUAUGAUUCAUCGAUACCAUUGAUCCUCCCAAAGUUCAUCCAUCCAUAUGUGACUGGCACAUCAGUAUUUUACAUAAAAAAGAUUGAGGGGAGGCAAUCUGCGCGUCAGCAAAAUGUCACCAUAAUUGAGCUCGGCUGAUGUUAUUGUCCCUUAACGAAGUUCUGACUGUUUUAUAAACAGGGCUGGGACAAGAGGCAUCAGUCACAGGGGAGACGGCUAACAUCACCAAGGACAAGGGCGCCGCGCAUUAAACAGGGGCGGCAGAUGUGCUGCACUUUACCUCCGAUGGAAUUUGAAUACACUCUGCAGCUCCUACCUAUCUGUCUACUGUAUCCAUCUACCGUAUGUGUUGGCUCACAACAGUGAUGGCAGGAGAGGUGUUUACAGUUUACAGAAUAAAAGGAGAACGUGUAGUUCUACAACAGCAUACAAAAAGGACGAGACACUGAGGCUAAUUGGAAAAGGCCUGCCACUGAUUACAGACAACGUGUGUGUGUGUGUGUGUGUGUGUGUGUGUGUGUGUGUGUGUGUGUGUGUGUGUGUGUGUGUGUGUGUGUGUGUGUGUGUGUGUGUGUGUGUGUGUGUGUGUGUGUGUGUGUGUGUGUGUGUGUGUGUGUGUGUGUGUGGUAAUUGCUCUGCUGGUGGACGCCGCUGUGGCAGUGGGCUGCCCUCGGAGGUCUCUGGAUAUCCAGUGUAAAUCCAGCCCAGCGGAGCUGUGAAAAAAAGCUAAUAAUAUGUUAUUGCAGUCGAGGUCCCCCUGUCGCCUCUCCAUCAGAGCACCACUGUCACCUUACACAUGGACCACGGUGUGAUAAUGGACAAUAAUGCGGAGUAGCUGAGAGUGAGAAGUCCAAUCUGCCUCCCGAGUGGUGAGAGGGCUUCGAGGAAAGCACACCCCAUACGAUGUGUGAGGGCUCCUGACUACGAGGCCGCGUGUCAUCCCGUCCUCCUGAACCCCUGGACAUCAUCGAUUAUUAUCUUGUUUCAUAAAACAUGAAGGUUUAGACUUGAAGAGAGAGGGCACGUGCGUUUUCUCAGUGUGGAACUCACUAAUUGCAGCGGAGAAGUAAAGCGAAUUUGUGAAAACUACCCAAAAGUUUUGUUUGUGUUAUUAGCUGUUUUUUUUAAGCAUCCAAAUACUUAAACUAGCUCCUCUGAAGACCGUUGCCUAAUUGUUUCAUCAUGAUGUUUUUAUUCAUAUUUAAUGUAAAAGGCAUUUUCGGCUGCAAAAAAACCACGGUCAUUAGUGGGAGCUUCACAAGGAAAAUAAAUACCCGGAUUUGUUGUGAGAGUGUUUAAAACUCUCAAAGAGAAUCUAAAAUCAUGUUAUCAGUAGUGACUUCAGGCGUGUUUGCAGUAAGCGAGGCACUACGGCGCCCGACAACGGGCAAUUGUUGUGCUUUCUUUGUUCAGAACAAAGUUUUAAAAAACAACCUUCAGAACAUAAGUAACCGCUCUGCUUUCAGAACUAAACACAUUAAAUAUGCUUCCUUUGAUCAACCUAAUGUUUUUGGGGUUUUGCUUACACUGAAAUCAUUCCCCGCGGAGAAAUGUAAAAACAUUACAGAACAGCAGCAGCAUCAUCAUAACAGGACUUGGAAAAACAGAGGGAUACAACUUCCAGCCGCACUGAGGCCUCUAGUGGCAGCUGGUGGCAACAUCCUCCUCGCUAACACUUCUCUUAACAGACUCAACGUCUACAUGACUCCGUUCGGGAAGGGUUUAUGCAUGAUUGUUGGAUUCGAUCGUCUUUUAUAGCUCAUUCAUAUAGUACAUGUAGGCACGGCAUCUCUGUGGGUGGAAAAUGCAAUUAAGUUUUUCUCACAGCGCGACAUGAAUUCUCCAAAUCUUUAAUAGAAGCUUAGUGAGCAUGAGAAAAGCGUUUUCCACUUGUCACACAUGCAUCCCAGCGCUUUCUGAAUCCAUCAGGUGAGAUUAAAUAUAUCACACCACAUUCCACCUUGCCUUUUCUAAUUGUACUGAUUGUGAUGUUGAGAGGGCACACAGGAGGGUGGGGCAUUUUAUUUUCAGUCUGACGAUUGAAUUCCUGCCUCUCUCCUGCACCGACUUGUAUUUUUGGUGCGUGACCAGGAGCUUUGUGGUUUUCCAAACCUCAUGGGACCAAUUCCCAUUAUUUACUUGACUGUGACCCCGUAUCGUGACCUCUCGGGUCUCUCAUUUUCCAGGAGUCUACUUUUAAAUUGCCCAACUAAUGGCAACCUGCAUUUUUACUGAACUGUAAUGAAUGCUCCAAUUACACUGAGGGUGAUGGAGGCGAUUUUCCUAUGAUAGAAGGGGCGAUUUGAUCUGCCACACUCCAUUUCACUAUCUCUCUGCUCCUCAGGCAUUCCCGCAGACCUGUGGUCAGCACUAGCUGCUGGGAGGAAACUACAGUAAAGCCUCCACUUGUGGUAAUGCACCCUGUGAGUGCACUGCCAGGCCGUACACCAAUGAGGUGACUACAGAAUUAAGUGCUUGAAACAAAUGAAUUCAUUCUGGCAGAAAUGUGUCAAAUGACCUUUCCGCUGCUCAUUACACAUGGUGCACAUUACACCAGAGAAAUGCUCCUGUUGUGUGGGCUCCUUUGUUUCCC